UACGGAGGGUGCGAGCGUUGUCCGGAAUCACUGGGCGUAAAGGGCGCGUAGGUGGCGCGGGCAGUCAACGGUGAAAGUUCGGGGCUCAACCCUGAAUCGGCCGUCGAUACUCCCGGGCUUGAGCACUGUAGAGGCUAAUGGAAUUCCGGGUGUAGCGGUGGAAUGCGUAGAGAUCCGGAAGAACACCGGUGGCGAAGGCGGUUAGCUGGGCAGUAACUGACGCUGAGGAGCGAAAGCGUGGGGAGCGAACAGG
rnacentral:rRNA from 1 species